rnacentral:rRNA from 1 species
UCCGGUUGAUCCUGCCGGACCCGACUGCUAUUUGGGUGAGGAUAAGCCAUGCGAGUUGAAUGGGAUACCUAAAGUUCCCAUGGCAAACUGCUCAGUAACACAUGAUCAACUUACCCUAUAGAGAAAAAUAACCUCGGGAAACUGAGGAUAAUGUUUCAUAGUUGAAUUGGCUUGGAAAAGUUUUUCGACGAAAGGGGUAAAAAAAAUGGUUUUUAUCUGCUAUAGGAUAGGAUCGUGUUCGAUUAUGGUUGUUGGUGAGGUAAUGGCUCACCAAGCCGAUAAUCGAUAGGGGCCGUGAGAGCGGGAGCCCCGAGAUGGGUGCUGAGACAACGACCCAGGCCUUACGAGGCGCAGCAGGCGCGAAACCUCCGCAAUACACGAAAGUGUGACGGGGUUACCCAAAGUGUUCAAUUUUGAACUGUGGUAGGUGAGUAAUGUUCCCUACUAGAAAGGAGAGGGCAAGGCUGGUGCCAGCCGCCGCGGUAAAACCAGCUCUUCAAGUGGUCGGGAUAAUUAUUGGGCUUAAAGUGUCCGUAGCCGGUUUAGUAAGUUCCUGGUAAAAUCGGGUAGCUUAACUAUCUAUAUGCUAGGAAUACUACUAUACUAGAGGGCGGGAGAGGUCUGAGGUACUGCAGGGGUAGGGGUGAAAUCUUAUAAUCCUUGUUGGACCACCAGUGGCGAAGGCGUCAGACUGGAACGCGCCUGACGGUGAGGGACGAAAGCCAGGGGAGCGAACCGGAUUAGAUACCCGGGUAGUCCUGGCCGUAAACGAUGCAUACUAGGUGAUGGCACGGCCAUGAGCCGUGUCAGUGCCGUAGGGAAACCGUUAAGUGUGCCGCCUGGGAAGUACGGUCGCAAGGCUAGAACUUAAAGGAAUUGGCGGGGGAGCACCACAAGGGGUGAAGCCUGCGGUUCAAUUGGAGUCAACGCCGGAA